GAGGGGCAAGUCUGGUGCCCAGCAGCCGCGGUAAUUCCAGCUCCAAUAGCAUAUAUUUAAAGUUGYYGCGGUUAAAAAAGUUYGUAGUCAGAGUUCUGUUCUGGACUGGYUGGGGAGGUCACYGCCCAGUGCUUCCUCGUCAGGUUCCGAACAGCUCCCAGAUAACGGGAGCCAAGCCAGUUCUAUUUUGCUGGCUGUGUUAACCUGAGUUAAUGAUAAACAGGGACUGUYGGGGGCAUCCGUACUACGACGCGAGAGGUGAAAUUCAGUGACCGUCGUAGGAUGAACAACAGCGAAAGCAUUUGCCAAGAAUGUCUUCGUUGAUCAAGAACGAAAGUUAGAGGAUCGAAGGCGAUCAGAUACCGCCYUAGUUCUAACCCUUAACGAUGCUGACUAGCAAUUCGCCGUYGUUAUUCCCAUGAUGUGGCGAGACACCCCUGGGAAACCUCAAGUCUUUGAGUUCCGGGGGUAGUAUGGUUGCAAAGCUGAAACUUAAAGGAAUUGACGGAAGGGCACCACCAGGAGUGGAGCCUGUGGCUUAAUUUGACUCAACACGGGAAACCUCACCAGGCCUGGACACCAGAAGGAUUGACAGAUUAAGAGCUCUUUCUCGAUUUGGUGGGUGGUGGURCAUGGCUGUUCUUAGUUGGUGGAGUGAUUUGUCUGGUUAAUUCUUAGAGGGAUGAGCAGYAWGUAUAGCUGCAGGAGAUUGAGCAAUAACAGGUCUGUGAUGCCCUUARAA
rnacentral:rRNA from 1 species